rnacentral:rRNA from 1 species
UACGUAGGGUGCAAGCGUUAAUCGGAAUUACUGGGCGUAAAGCGCGCGUAGGCGGACCUGCAAGUCGGGGGUGAAAGCCCGGGGCUCAACCCCGGAACUGCCUUUGAAACUAGAUUGCUAGAAUCCUGGAGAGGUGAGUGGAAUUCCGAGUGUAGAGGUGAAAUUCGUAGAUAUUCGGAAGAACACCAGUGGCGAAGGCGACUCACUGGACAGGUAUUGACGCUGAGGUGCGAAAGCGUGGGGAGCAAACAGG